AUGUGCAAUGUGAACGAGCACACACACACAAAAAAAAAAAAAAAAUCGGAUUUCACCCAAAAAAUCUGAAUUGUGCAUGAAGACCUGCUGUCUGAACGUAACCUCAGUGAUAGCAUCACAGAUUACUAUAACUUUUACAUAAAACAUCGAAAAACUAUAUUCAUCUUAUUGUGAAUCUUUUUGUUUUUACUUACAAAAUCACAACAAGAAACUACAGGUCAAGAGAAAUUAAAAAAAAAAACAAUAAGCAAACACCAAACAAACAAAAAAAGCCAAUAGCCACAAGGGAAAAACGAAUAACGAAAACAAAAACCUGAUAGAUGACAAUAGACAAGAACCAAGACAAUGACAAAAACACUGACAAAAUAUACAAAUACAUGUAUAUAGACACACACACCCACAUAUGUUACAAAACAAUAGAUAGAAAACACAGACUAGACAGAAAAAAAACAAAAAAAUAAAUGUACAAUAGACAAAAAACAGAUUAAAAACGACGAAAGACAAAACCAAUGUGAACUGGUUUUACACCACAUCGUCAGCAAACAUUAAUGCCAAAUUUGGGCGUUCAGUUUUGUGCAUCUGUGUCUUCAUGUUCACCAGAGAUAUGUAGGACGUCUUUCCAUAGUCUGCCUUGUUGGAUAUUUUGACCAACUGGACAAUCGACCAAAUCCCUUUCGUUAUUCAAGACUCUCGGAUGCGACCACUGACCUCGGACUUUUUGUCGGAGCACUGUAUAAAGGCCAAAGUACCCCCCAAGCAUCAAAGGCAGGGACUGGUGGGAAAUAAGACUCCCAGAGGACACUGUUUGUUAAAUAUUUAACAUACCACUGACUGCAUGAUGACUUGGAAGGAGGAGCGUUAAAAAAAACCAAAUCUGGACUUGGAUUCUGGAGAUUCGACGGUGGGAAACCCAAAGACAGCGACGCUAGGAGUAGUGUAUAUAUUUCAUGUGUCUCCCUGAGGUUUUAACACAGUCUAACUUAUGAGAAAUGUUUUAAUAAAAUCCACAUAAAGGGAUUCUCAAUGGACCCACAUGAACCGGUGUACAGUUAUCCUCCGUCUGUGCUGUCUACUGUAUCCUCAUUACUCCAACCACUGUUGCUUUGAAGCGAAUGCCUCUGGGAAAAUGUCAGAGUGAUUUAACGUAUGCACUUCGUCGGUUGUUUGAACCACGCCGUCAUCUCCGGUCGUACGGCAAAACUGAACCAAGUACUGCUUGGUUUUUUUUUGUUUUUUUUGUAUUUUCCUUUAAAAGAUGUUUUUUCUGUGUUGUCACCUGCACUGAAUCUCCUCAGAGAAAAGUAUCCUGAUUAAAAUCUCAAGUCUUUCAAAUGAAA